GACGAAAUCCCCAAGGUGAUGAUGCUUCAACAAUGAAGGUUGACAUUCACUCAAGUGCCUUGUGUAUGACAUCUGUUAGUGAUUCCAGAUUGUUGACGAAAUAUCGUCUUCUGCUACCAGCUACCUCUAGGUUCGGAUGACCAUUGAUAAUUGGAGAGCAGCAUAGGAAUGCAACAGCUUUGUCUGGGUCAAAUGCCCUACUAAAUUGAAUCCUCUUGGCCGUCUUGGGAAACGUUGUCUGCUCCUAAGUUACACAACACAUAUCAUAACUCAUAAGUUAAUUAACAAUAUCAAAACAAAUUUAGAUUGGGAUUUUGAGUUCACUUAGUUUUUGCGUGACCUAGGUGCUUGUGACAAUGGAAAUGAUAUGAUCCACCAAUAAUGCAAGCUAUGUCUUCCAAAGCUAAAUAGUUUCUACUGUCAUUUAAUGUUUAUAGUAAUAUUUCAGAUCCAAUUCUUUGCUGCUAUCUCUUUUGCAGACAGUUGUGGUGACCUUCACCUAGUUCUAAUUUAGGACAUGUAACAUUGAUAGAUUUGAGGUUAAUCCCUCACCACUCUAUAGUUGUUUGGAAACUGAAGUGAGAUUGCUGGAACUGAAGACUAAUAAUUUGUGUAGAUGCAGAUACAUUACAAGUGCAUAUCUGGGUUUCCUUCUUUUCUGUGGUCUCGUUUCCCUAACUAACCACUAACCAACGCCCGCCGGUGGACACUCACCCGCUAUGGAGGUUCAUGAGGCUUAACUCGGAAGCCUAUUAUUACUAAAGAAGUAUUUAAUGGUUUGUACUAGCCGUUUUAUUGAUAUUUUUAUAUUUUAAAAAAAUUAUAAAAAUGAGUUUCCUG
rnacentral:lncRNA from 1 species